rnacentral:rRNA from 1 species
AUUGAACGCUGGCGGCAUGCUUUACACAUGCAAGUCGAACGGCAGCACGGGCUUCGGCCUGGUGGCGAGUGGCGAACGGGUGAGUAAUGCAUCGGAACGUGCCCAUUUGUGGGGGAUAACUACGCGAAAGCGUGGCUAAUACCGCAUACGCCCUGAGGGGGAAAGCGGGGGAUUCUUCGGAACCUCGCGCAAUUGGAGCGGCCGAUGUCAGAUUAGCUUGUUGGUGAGGUAAAGGCUCACCAAGGCGACGAUCUGUAGCGGGUCUGAGAGGAUGAUCCGCCACACUGGGACUGAGACACGGCCCAGACUCCUACGGGAGGCAGCAGUGGGGAAUUUUGGACAAUGGGGGCAACCCUGAUCCAGCCAUGCCGCGUGAGUGAAGAAGGCCUCGGUUGUAAGCUCUUCAGCCGGGAAGAAACGACAACUCUCUAACAUAGGUGUGGAUGACGGUACCGGAAGAAGAAGACACCGGCUAACUACGUAGCCAGCAGCCG